UCGUCAAUUUGGUUGUGAAAUGUUGUAUUAAAAAUUCAUAUCACAGCCACUUUGAUGAGC
rnacentral:pre_miRNA from 1 species